UACGUAGGUGGCAAGCGUUGUCCGGAUUUACUGGGCGUAAAGAGCGCGCAGGCGGUCGUUCAAGUCGCGUGUGAAAGCCCCCGGCUCAACUGGGGAGGGUCACGCGAUACUGAUCGACUCGAAGGCAGGAGAGGGUAGUGGAAUUCCCGGUGUAGUGGUGAAAUGCGUAGAUAAUCGGGGAGGAACACCAGUGGCGAAGGCGAACUACCCUGGCCUGUUCUUGACGCUG
rnacentral:rRNA from 1 species